rnacentral:rRNA from 1 species
GACGAACGCUGGCGGCGUGCCUAAUACAUGCAAGUAGAACGCUGAAGGAGGAGCUUGCUUCUCUGGAUGAGUUGCGAACGGGUGAGUAACGCGUAGGUAACCUACCUGGUAGCGGGGGAUAACUAUUGGAAACGAUAGCUAAUACCGCAUAACAGUAGAUCUCGCAUGAUAUCUACUUGAAAGGUGCAAUUGCAUCACUACCAGAUGGACCUGCGUUGUAUUAGCUAGUUGGGGAGGUAACGGCUCACCCAGGCGGCGAUACAUAGCCGACCUGAGAGGGGGAUCCGCCACCACGGGACCGAGACCAGGCCCAGACUCCCUAGGGAGGGAGCAGUAGGGGAUCUUCGGAAAUGGACGGAAGUCUGAACGAGCCAAGCCGCGUGAGUGAAGAAGGUUUUCGGAUCGUAAAGCUCGGUUGUAAGAGAAGAAAGAGUGUGAGGGUGGAAAGUUCACACUGUGACGGUAUCUUAACAGAAAGGGACGGCUAACUACGUG